rnacentral:rRNA from 1 species
UACAAAGGUCCCAAGCGUUGUUCGGAUUCACUGAACGUAAAGGGUGCGUAGGCGGUCGGGUAAGUCUGACGUGAAAUCUUCAAGCUCAACUUGGAAACUGCGUCCGAUACUAUUCGGCUAGAGGAAUGGAGGGGAGACUGGAAUACUUGGUGUAGCAGUGAAAUGCGUAGAUAUCAAAUGGAACACCAGUGGCGAAGGCGAGUCUCUGGACAUUUCCUGACGCUGAGGCACGAAAGCCAGGGGAGCAAACGGG